rfam:Triticum aestivum genome assembly, contig: Triticum_aestivum_CS42_TGACv1_scaffold_094415_2AL
CUACUACUCCCUCCGUCCGAAAAUAAUUGUCAUCAAAAUGGUUAAAAAGAGAUGUAUCUAGAACUAAAAUACGUCUAUAUACAUCCCUUUUUAUCCAUUUUGAUGACAAGUAUUUCCGGACGGAGGGAGUACCAG